rnacentral:rRNA from 1 species
UACGUAGGGUGCGAGCGUUAAUCGGAAUUACUGGGCGUAAAGCGUGCGCAGGCGGUGAUGUAAGUCAGAUGUGAAAUCCCCGGGCUCAACCUGGGACCUGCAUUUGUGACUGCAUCGCUAGAGUACGGCAGAGGGGGAUGGAAUUCCGCGUGUAGCAGUGAAAUGCGUAGAUAUGCGGAGGAACACCGAUGGCGAAGGCAAUCCCCUGGGCCUGUACUGACGCUCAUGCACGAAAGCGUGGGGAGCAAACAGG